AGUGAUAUAUUACAUAUUGAUAUAUCUUAUCAAUUUUUUUUAAAAAAAUUCAUAACUAUCUAAUUGACAUGUAAUAAAUGGGUAGAUGUCCAUUUGAGCUAUUAGAAUCCAUCUCCUGCAUUUGUGAUUAUCCACCAGCUGAUCGAGACCAGCUUCAAAUCGUCGAAAAUUAGAAUGGCCAAGUAAUCUGCCCCGAUAGGAAGGGUACUAUAAGCACACAAGCACAACCUGCACGACAGGUUGCAGCGCCUUCUAAUAUCGAUCCCGGCGAACAAAAAAAUCUGGUGCAAGUUGAGCGCCCGCGCGAGCAACACAACCGUGGGCACGGAGCUGGACGUUGACACGCAUAUCGGUGAUGAGAAUACGAGAGCAUACGAGACGGGGAGAUGCCCCGCCGAUUUGGAGCCGGAGAUCUCGAAACGAUCGAUGCCGAUCCACGUGGGCAAGCGCUGCGUACGUCGUCGUGCAACGCGACGCCUUCGUUUUCGAUGGAUCCUCCCGGCCGCGCCCGCGCGAGGUCAGCGUCUCGCGAGGCCGCGAAGCAAAAAAAAAACGCAACGACGCGCGCGCGCGAGGUGGUGGGCCGCGACGAUCGCACGGGGAUCUCCGCGUUUUUGGCAAGAAAACCGUAGCAUUUCCGCGCACGCCCGGUGUGCUCGGCUCGUUCGCGCGGCACGGGUCAUCUAUCGUCGAUCGCCUCGCGGCUGCAGGACAGGACAGGAGGAGGAGGACGAAAAAUUGUUCGUUCCGGGUGGCUUACGGUGGCACGAAAGAAAGUUGCGCUUGAUGUUUACGCACGAAUAGUCAGACCGAUCUACGACCACCGAUCACCACGGGAUCGAGUGGUCUCGUCCAUGCCACGGAUUAGUGGAUGAGAUCGAAAGCAAGGUGAUAUAGUACUUAACAACAAUUAUUGGUCACCAAUUCAGGGCUAUCAAGUAACCUCGCUCUGAGUAAUGAUUAUGUGUGCAUCAAUGUAAAUUAAUCGAUCCAUGCGUAGCCAAGAUGAGAUGUGACAUUUUUCUGGCUGUAGCGUUGUAUUUAUGUGUGGAAACGCAAGGUCAAGACGAGGGGCUAAUGAACUGCCAGAAGCAUCUGGAUCAUGGAAUUGCAAAAUAGAAGUAGCUGCAAGUACUGUACUUGCAUCAGCCUAUAUAGAGAUAUAUACAACGAAUGCUAGCGUCUCCCACUACCGAACUCACUAAUCAAAGAUAUCCCUCGAAUUAAUCUAGGAGCGCUGCUGAUCGAGAAGAUAGGCAUCGGGCACUAAAAAAACUGCUGCAUCAUUUCGACGCAAAACUAAUCUCCAUCAGACACUAGUUAAUUAAGAUAUACUUGUUUAAUUAGUCCUGUGUGAGCUCUCCAAUUUACAAAGUUGUGGACAAUGGAGCUCCGAAAUGAGCUAGCUCAACGACAAAAACACUCACUAGUCCUUCCAAAAUUAACCUAACUAAGAACUCCUAUACUAGUACAGUAAUUGCGUCGAUUAGAGGCAGAUAUUGGGGUUGCGUUGGAUCAUUGGAUGGAUGGAUGUGAAGAGGAGGAAUUUUUUUUUUUGGGUGGUGGAUGGCGGCAAGUGGUGGACGGGUGGUGGUACGAGACGGCGAGCAUUUUUGUGUAGGUGAGCUCCUCCCCUCCCCUGGAAUCCAAUCCAAUUCUGAUGCGCGUGCCGCGCCCCCAAUCAUUCGAUUCACGUCAAUUUUUGGUGUUUUCCUCGACGCCUUUUUUCACCGCACCCAUCUUGUUCACGCACGCACACCAGCGCGCCGCAGUUGGCGAGCUCUCGUCCUCACCAAUCAGGUUAUCUACCAGCUUUACACGUACGCGAAUUUCUGUCGGCUAUUGGCGUGCUUCUGCUUCACGUAGCUGAAAAUACGUGCUACGAUCCCUCUUUGACUAGAGGGUUCAGGUUCAGCGAAUGGUUGGUUAUCUUAUCUGAGCAAAACUCCUUCCGAUGUUCAUAUGCCAAACGAAAAGUAUAGUAUAAUUCGAAUACGAGAAAAGAGCAGUCAUGUUCCAUCUAUAAUAAGGUAUGAGGUGAUGAGGGAGAGCAGCACAAGAGAAGAAAUGGGCAAUGCUCCAAGCAAUUGUUGGCUAACCGUGCGUGAUUAGCAUCGCCCGAGUCAAAAAGACGCGGGGCCUAAUGGAAAGCUCCCUUCUACUCCACGCGACGCGAUACGGGGCGGCCUGAUCACGCACUCAAUAUGGACGAUGUGGACGUGUGUGGAUCGGCGGUGAUCGCCGACGCAAUCAAUGGUUCUCCGGAGUUUAGAAUCGUUUUCUCUUAAAGGUUGGUGGUCGGGUGAUAGUGCCAUACUAUCAUGCGAGUUCAUCUAGUUUUUGACUUGGCACCUCCAAGAUGCGAGUCCUGAAACGCGGCUUCUGCGCCAUGGCACGCUACUCGCUAGUGCUCCACCAUCUUCCUCCCAUACAGGAAGAGCCCAAAGGGACAGUAGUGGUGUAGUCGUAGUUGUGCCCGUGAAAGCAUGAGCUCCUGUCUGCCCUCUUCAAUACUUCAGCUACCCGAGGACAGAAUACUGAUAAUGGGUAGGCUAGUAACAGUAGAAGUAACUGCACGCACUCCUGCUUCAGAUCUUCAGAGAAACUGUGCAGCGUGCAGGCACAUGCUCCUGCCCGCUUACCUCCUGAUAGUCUCUUGUGUCCUGCGAGCCCGAGUCUCCAUGGUGAUUUAAUUUGUGACUUGUAGGUAGACUGGACUGGAUCAUAGCAAAACAAUCAUGGAUAGUUCCCGUUCUUUUCCGAUUAACAGAACAAUUAAGAUACAGAUUCUAUCUUA